rnacentral:rRNA from 1 species
AGAGUUUGAUCCUGGCUCAGGAUGAACGCUGACAGAAUGCUUAACACAUGCAAGUCUACUUGAACUUCGGUUUGGGUGGCGGACGGGUGAGUAACGCGUAAAGAACUUGCCUCACAGUUAGGGACAACAUUUGGAAACGAAUGCUAAUACCUGAUAUUAUGAUUUUAGGGCAUCCUAAGAUUAUGAAAGCUAUAUGCGCUGUGAGAGAGCUUUGCGUCCCAUUAGCUAGUUGGAGAGGUAACGGCUCACCAAGGCGAUGAUGGGUAGCCGGCCUGAGAGGGUGAACGGCCACAAGGGGACUGAGACACGGCCCUUACUCCUACGGGAGGCAGCAGUGGGGAAUAUUGGACAAUGGACCAAAAGUCUGAUCCAGCAAUUCUGUGUGCACGAUGACGUUUUUCGGAAUGUAAAGUGCUUUCAGUUGGGAAGAAAAAAAUGACGGUACCAACAGAAGAAGUGACGGCUAAAUACGUGCCAGCAGCCGCGGUAAUACGUAUGUCACAAGCGUUAUCCGGAUUUAUUGGGCGUAAAGCGCGUCUAGGUGGUUAUGUAAGUCUGAUGUGAAAAUGCAGGGCUCAACUCUGUAUUGCGUUGGAAACUGUAUGACUAGAGUACUGGAGAGGUAAGCGGAACUACAAGUGUAGAGGUGAAAUUCGUAGAUAUUUGUAGGAAUGCCGAUGGGGAAGCCAGCUUACUGGACAGAUACUGACGCUAAAGCGCGAAAGCGUGGGUAGCAAACAGGAUUAGAUACCCUGGUAGUCCACGCCGUAAACGAUGAUUACUAGGUGUUGGGGGUCGAACCUCAGCGCCCAAGCUAACGCGAUAAGUAAUCCGCCUGGGGAGUACGUACGCAAGUAUGAAACUCAAAGGAAUUGACGGGGACCCGCACAAGCGGUGGAGCAUGUGGUUUAA